UUGACCUCGAAUCAGGUAGGGAUACCCGCUGAACUUAAGCAUAUCAAUAAGCGGAGGAAAAGAAACCAACAGGGAUUACCUCAGUAACGGCGAGUGAAGCGGUAACAGCUCAAAUUUGAAAUCGGGCUCCUUCGGAGCUCGAGUUGUAAUUUGCAGAAGAUGCUUUGGGUUUGCUGGCUCGAUCUAAGUUCCUUGGAACAGGACGUCAGAGAGGGUGAGAAUCCCGUACGUGAUCGUGGCCGGCACCCGUGUAAAGCUCUUUCGACGAGUCGAGUUGUUUGGGAAUGCAGCUCAAAAUGGGUGGUAAAUUUCAUCUAAAGCUAAAUAUGGGCCAGAGACCGAUAGCGCACAAGUAGAGUGAUCGAAAGAUGAAAAGCACUUUGGAAAGAGAGUUAAACAGUACGUGAAAUUGUUGAAAGGGAAGCGCUUGCAACCAGACUUGGGCUUCACUGUUCAGCCAGAGUUAUCUCUGGUGCACUCGGUGUCGCACAGGCCAGCAUCGGUUCGGGUGGCUGGAGAAAAGCCGUAGGAAUGUAGCUCCUCUCGAGGAGUGUUAUAGCCUAGGGCGCAAUGCAGCCCAUCCGGACCGAGGACCGCGUCCUUUCGAGGACUAGGAUGCUGGCGUAAUGGUUGUAAGCGACCCGUCUUGAAACACGGACCAAGGAGUCUAACAUCUAUGCGAGUGUUUGGGUGUCGAAACCCAGGCGCGGAAUGAAAGUGAACGUAGGUGAGAGCCCGUUAGGGCGCAUCAUCGAC
rnacentral:rRNA from 1 species